rfam:Stegodyphus mimosarum contig45017, whole genome shotgun sequence.
GCCUUAGUGGUGUAGUGGUCAGCACACUCGGCGUGUAUCCGAGAGAUCCGUGGUUCGAGUCCCGGCGAGGGCA